UCCUGCUGCAGCCCAGGCCCGAUGCCGCCAGACCCGGGCUCGUUCUCCCGGCGGCUGGCGCCCCGGAUCCCGGGCUGCCUGUCCUGGGCCGAACGGGGGACGCACCACGCUGGGGUGCUGCUGGCAGCCUCAGCUUAGUCCCAUUGGGUUGUGAUGGAGUUCCCACGCGGGGUGAUGCCAAUACCAAAUUUAUGGGGGAAGAAGACUUCCAUACCCGUCAGAUGAAUUAUUCAGCAAGAGUCACAGUGAGACCAAGCACACAGGCCCCUGCUUCAGAGCCUGCAACCCAAACUUGUUUCCAUCCCUUUGUCUAAUGACCUUUCAACAUUGAAGUCAGGUCAAUAAAGAGGGUCUUCCUACACAAGGUCUCUAGCACUAUCCCCUGGAUCUCUUCCAUAAAGUUCGAAGAUCAUGUCCUGUCUGUGCUUUGACUUUCUCCACAAUCAGGCAGCAUUUCCUUGUAUUACUCUAGUGUCAUCACUGAUGUGAGAAGUCUGUGGUAGCACCAGCUGGGAGCCACUGCAUCUGUUAUGAGCUUGCUGGGUUUAUUGGUAUGAAUUUUUCUAUCUGAAGAUUAGCCCAGUACAAGAUAGCCAGGUUUGUGUGUAACUUUCAGUUGACCUUGACUUUGCAAGUGUACUGAGACUUCUAUUGCAGAUAGAUAAAGUGCAGAAUAUUAUAACCAUCGCUUAUCAUCUGCAAUGUCUGUUGUGAUAGCUCAGGAGAUAAAAUCAUCUGAACUCAAAAACAUCUAUAUGUAAAUAACACCAGUUGUUUAUUCGCCAAUGUUUUAAUCUCUUCAUGUUUUCAUACAAUUAUGAAUUAGCGUUAGAAUAACAAUAAUUAUUGACAGGGAUCUCUGGAGAAAACUCACUGAUCGUUUUAUCCCUCUAAUAAAUUACCAAGUACCCAGUACGUGCUGAUGUUAUCCAGUGAAACAAAGUGUACAGUGUAAUAGGUUCUGUUGGUUUGGGGAGUCUUUCUGUUUUAGAAAUCGAUUGAUAAAAUACAGUGCAUUGCAGCAAUACCAUCUGUAUACUUUGGGUUUUGUCACUCUGCCUCAAUCUGGAAGAGUGCCCUUGCAUUUCUACAUGUCUUCAGCGUUCAGUGCAAUAGUUCUAGUCUCGAUCGUAAUUGUUAUAUUCACUGUGUGCAUUGGGACAUGCUCAUGGAAAUUUCCCCCUCACAGUCCCAGAAGUGGGGAGGCUUCAUCUGGCCAGAAGCAGAAGAAAAACCUUUGGCCCAUCUAAGGAUUGCACCCUUUGCUCCUCUCCUGGUGGAUACUCAGCCUCCUCUUGGAUUUAAGGAGGGGAGAAGGGGGCUCUGGCACCUGCAGGCACCUUCUAUGUCUGGAAGACAACCAUGCCCACCCUCCACCUCCCCUUUGGUAUUAAAGUGAGGGGGACAUGGGGCCUUGCUGGGGGGCAUCAUGUUAGUUGCCUUUUUGAAGCUGAGAAAGAAUUUUUCCCUCCGCCAGACUGGCCUGGGCAUUGUGGGUUUUUCGCUUUCCUCUCAGCAGCCUAGGGACCUGGUGGGUAGAUUAGGUUUUUGUCACAGCUUGGCAGGUGCCUAGUUCAGAUGAUGGUUCCAUAAUGGCCCAGCUCCCUGACCUUGGAUUAGGAGAGGACAGCUCAUAAUGGAGGUGGGGAAUGGUGUGAGGAUCCUAAUAUCUGGUACAGUGAGGUGGGUGGGGGUCAGGAGACAACCCCCUCAACUCUUGUAUAAGGGAAGGGCUGUGGGGUUCACAUUGAAAGUACUGGGUUAGCAGCUGGAAUGGUGAAAUGGAUUACCAAGGAAGGAUGAUGUGCACUGGAUGAAUUCUUGUGGGAUAGUUCCCAGAUGUGCUACUUAAUACAUUUGCAGCCUAAUUAAACCACAUUUCUGGA